AAUACAUGCAAGUCGAACGAACUCUGGUAUUGAUUGGUGCUUGCAUCAUGAUUUACAUUUGAGUGAGUGGCGAACUGGUGAGUAACACGUGGGAAACCUGCCCAGAAGCGGGGGAUAACACCUGGAAACAGAUGCUAAUACCGCAUAACAACUUGGACCGCAUGGUCCGAGUUUGAAAGAUGGCUUCGGCUAUCACUUUUGGAUGGUCCCGCGGCGUAUUAGCUAGAUGGUGGGGUAACGGCUCACCAUGGCAAUGAUACGUAGCCGACCUGAGAGGGUAAUCGGCCACAUUGGGACUGAGACACGGCCCAAACUCCUACGGGAGGCAGCAGUAGGGAAUCUUCCACAAUGGACGAAAGUCUGAUGGAGCAACGCCGCGUGAGUGAAGAAGGGUUUCGGCUCGUAAAACUCUGUUGUUAAAGAAGAACAUAUCUGAGAGUAACUGUUCAGGUAUUGACGGUAUUUAACCAGAAAGCCACGGCUAACUACGUGCCAGCAGCCGCGGUAAUACGUAGGUGGCAAGCGUUGUCCGGAUUUAUUGGGCGUAAAGCGAGCGCAGGCGGUUUUUUAAGUCUGAUGUGAAAGCCUUCGGCUCAACCGAAGAAGUGCAUCGGAAACUGGGAAACUUGAGUGCAGAAGAGGACAGUGGAACUCCAUGUGUAGCGGUGAAAUGCGUAGAUAUAUGGAAGAACACCAGUGGCGAAGGCGGCUGUCUGGUCUGUAACUGACGCUGAGGCUCGAAAGUAUGGGUAGCAAACAGGAUUAGAUACCCUGGUAGUCCAUACCGUAAACGAUGAAUGCUAAGUGUUGGAGGGUUUCCGCCCUUCAGUGCUGCAGCUAACGCAUUAAGCAUUCCGCCUGGGGAGUACGGCCGCAAGGCUGAAACUCAAAGGAAUUGACGGGGGCCCGCACAAGCGGUGGAGCAUGUGGUUUAAUUCGAAGCUACGCCAAGAACCUUACCAGGUCUUGACAUACUAUGCAAAUCUAAGAGAUUAGACGUUCCCUUCGGGGACAUGGAUACAGGUGGUGCAUGGUUGUCGUCAGCUCGUGUCGUGAGAUGUUGGGUUAAGUCCCGCAACGAGCGCAACCCUUAUUAUCAGUUGCCAGCAUUAAGUUGGGCACUCGGGUGAGACUGCCGGUGACAAACCGGAGGAAGGUGGGGAUGACGUCAAAUCAUCAUGCCCCUUAUGACCUGGGCUACACACGUGCUACAAUGGAUGGUACAACGAGUUGCGAACUCGCGAGAGUAAGCUAAUCUCUUAAAGCCAUUCUCAGUUCGGAUUGUAGGCUGCAACUCGCCUACAUGAAGUCGGAAUCGCUAGUAAUCGCGGAUCAGCAUGCCGCGGUGAAUACGUUCCCGGGCCUUGUACACACCGCCCGUCACACCACGAGAGUUUGUAACACCCAAAGUCGGUGGGGUAACCUUUUAGGAACCAGCCGCCUAAGGUGGGACAGAUGAUUAGGGUGAAGUCG
rnacentral:rRNA from 1 species